GGCGAUGCGUCGUCGUGGCACCAACCAACGGACGCGAGCUUUGAACAAGAGCGCAAGCGCGGACCGUUUGACGAGACAGUCGCCGCAGCGGAUACAACACCUCGGUAAGAGUGCCUGGGCGGGCGGCCAGUUACCACAGAAGGGAUGCUGCGCAAGAGCAAGGGCCUGCUAAAAAACAGCUCAAGAGACUGAAGUGGUGGACAGCUUGCUGUGAAAGAUGGAAGCGUUCUUCCUGCAAGUCUGGACAAGGCCAUAUUAAAUGGCUUCAUCUGUCACAAAUCGCUGGCCACGAAUGUAAAGAAUACCUUGGCCCCACUUCUGUCGAGGGAACCGAAGUUGCCUGAACAGAUGAAGAGGGGUGGUGCUACCAAUAGUGAACGACUGUGAUUUUAUAAUGUGCAAGUGUAUGAAAAAUCUCGUUACACUAAUUUAACGUUAAUUGCAUUCACUAGUCAAGUGUCAAUAUUGUAAUGUGUAAGUUUAUGCACAGUUGCAUUAAGUGAGCGCUCAUUCAAGCUUCAAGUUCGCAAUCAUAUAUUUUGGUGGUAUUCAUAGGGCACACAUUCCACUUUAAAUUGUGAUCUGCUCCUUUACUGAGGGUGCAUGCAGGUCCUUGAAACGAUUGAAAACCCUUGAAAAAGUAAAAGUACAUUUUUAAAGCCCUGAAACCCUUGGAAUUUCUUAGCAUAUAGUGUCCAAUAUUGACAAUACUAAUUUCUUUCGGUGUUCUGUAAACAUUUGUCUAGCAAACUGAGGGAACAUGUCAUGCUCAGUGAUGAUUCGGCUACUGUGUUUACCUUGCUUGCAUCACUGCUUUACCGAUCAUUCAUUUCGUUUCCGCAACUGUCGGUCCGCCUUCUCCCCCUUUCUCUUGAUUUGGCUUCUUGGGACUCGACUUCACUGGAAACUUCCAGCGCUUAUGCUAGUUUCUCUUCUUCUAUAGCCAGCUCACUACUUGUGAUAGAUCUUCUAGCUCAACAAACAUCCACUGUCCUAUAAUGCAGGCAAAAUGUGAAAAAAAAGUUGAUGCUUUGUGCUAGAAACCAAGUACUUCUGACUAAAGCUGAUGGCACUGCUGCUCAGGCUUAGUGAUUGACUCCCAUGUAGUGAUUGUUAUUGAUCUUUUUUGUAGGCAAGAACCUUGACUUUGUAUGUAGAGGAUAUUUGCUAAGUUGAUUGCUCUGCUGGCAUACAUCCAAUUCGCACUUGACUCAAUUGUUAUCAAAGCCCAAAAACAGGAGAAGCAUGAUGACUGCAUGGAGUCAAAAAUGUAUUCAACGAUCGAAUUGUAAAAAUUGGGGAUAAAAUUUUGAAGCGGUCAUUACUAUUUUGUUGUUUAGCAGGUCAGUACUCGGAAAAAGUAGAA